UACGUAGGGGGCAAGCGUUGUCCGGAAUCAUUGGGCGUAAAGCGCGCGUAGGUGGCCCAGUAAGUCCGCUCUGAAAGUCAAAGGCUCAACCUUUGAAAGCGGGUGGAUACUGCUGGGCUAGAGUCCGGAAGAGGCGAGUGGAAUUCCUGGUGUAGCGGUGGAAUGCGCAGAUAUCAGGAGGAACACCAACGGCGAAGGCAGCUCGCUGGGACGGUACUGACACUAAGGCGCGAAGGCGUGGGGAGCGAACAGG
rnacentral:rRNA from 1 species